rnacentral:rRNA from 1 species
UACGUAGGGGGCAAGCGUUGUCCGGAUUUAUUGGGCGUAAAGAGCGUGUAGGCGGUUAGGUAGGUCCGUUGUGAAAACUCGAGGCUCAACCUCGAGACGCCGAUGGAAACCAUCUAACUAGAGUCCGGAAGAGGAGAGUGGAAUUCCUGGUGUAGCGGUGAAAUGCGCAGAUAUCAGGAGGAACACCUGUGGCGAAAGCGGCUCACUGGACCACAACUGACGCUGAGGCGCGAAAGCUAGGGGAGCAAACAGG